rnacentral:rRNA from 1 species
UUGAUCCUGGCUCAGAAUCAACGCUGGCGGCGUGCCUAACACAUGCAAGUCGAACGCGAAAGUCCCGCAAGGGAUCAGUAGAGUGGCAAACGGGUGAGUUACACGUGGGUGACCUGCCUUCGAGUGGGGGAUAACGUCCCGAAAGGGACUCUAAUACCGCAUGACAUCCUGCCUUUGAACAGGUGGAGAUCAGAGCUGGUGAUCGCAAGACCUAGCGCUUGAAGAGGGGCCCGCGUCUGAUUAGCUAGUUGGUGAGGUAACGGCUCACCAAGGCAACGAUCAGUAUCCGGCCUGAGAGGUCGGACGGACACACUGGGACUGAGACACGGCCCAGACUCCUACGGGAGGCUGCAGUGGGGAAUUGUUCGCAAUGGGCGCAAGCCUGACGACGCAACGCCGUGUGGAGGAUGAAGACCUUCGGGUCGUAAACUCCUUUCGAUCGAGACGAAUGGCUUCCGGGCGAAUAUCCCGGGAGAUUGACGGUACCGAGAGAAGAAGCUCCGGCUAACUCCGUGCCAGCAGCCGCGGUAAUAAGGU